rnacentral:rRNA from 1 species
AUUGACCGCUGGCGGCAGGCCUAACACAUGCAAGUCGAGCGGAGCGGCGGAAGGGUGAGUAAUGCCUAGGAAUCUGCCUGGUAGUGGGGGAUAACGGCCGGAAACGGGCGCUAAUACAGCAUACUAUCAGAUGAGCCUAGGUCGUAUUCGCGAGUUGGUGGGGUAAAGGCCUACCAAGGCGACGAUCCGUAACUGGUCUGAGAGGAGGAUCAGUCACACUGGAACUGAGACACGGUCCAGACUCCUACGGUAGGCAGCAGUGGGGAAUAUUGGAAAAUGGGCGAAAGCCUGAUCCAGCAAUGCCGCGUGUGUGAAGAAGGUCUUCGGAUUGUAAAGCACUUUAAGUUGGGAGGCGUUACCAACAGAAUAAGCACCGGCUAACUUCGUGCCAGCAGCCGCGGUAAUUC